rnacentral:rRNA from 1 species
AGGAUGAACGCUGGCGGUCUGCUUAACACAUGCAAGUCGAACGGAGUACCUCGGUACUUAGUGGCGGACGGGUGAGUAACGCGUGAGAAUCUGCCCUUAGGUCGGGGACAACCAUUGGAAACGAUGGCUAAAUACCGGAUAAGCCGAGAGGUAAAAGAUUAAUUGCCUAGGGAAGAGCUCGCGUCUGAUUAGCUAGUUGGUGAGGUAAAGGCUCACCAAGGCAUCGAUCAGUAGCUGGUCUGAGAGGAUGAUCAGCCACACUGGGACUGAGACACGGCCCAGACUCCUACUGGAGGCAGCAGUGGGAAUUUUCCGCAAUGGGCGAAAGCCUGACGGAGCAAGACCGCGUGAGGGAGGAAGGCUCUUGGGUUGUAAACCUCGUUUUCUUGGGGAAGAACAAAAUGACGGUACCCAAGGAAUCAGCAUCGGCUAACUCCGUGCCAGCAGCCGC